UACGUAGGGCGCAAGCGUUGUCCGGAAUUAUUGGGCGUAAAGAGCUCGUAGGCGGUUUGUCGCGUCUGCUGUGAAAACCUAAGGCUCAACCUUGGGCUUGCAGUGGGUACGGGCAAACUAGAGUGCGGUAGGGGGAGAUUGGAAUUCCUGGUGUAGCGGUGGAAUGCGCAGAUAUCAGGAGGAACACCGAUGGCGAAGGCAGAUCUCUGGGCCGUAACUGACGCUGAGGAGCGAAAGCGUGGGGAGCGAACAGG
rnacentral:rRNA from 1 species